AUUUAACAUCACAUCAGUCCCAGGUUCUUGGUGUCCAGGACAAAGACAGAGAUAUCCUGUGUGUGACCUUAGAGAACAUCCCAGUUUAUAGGGAGCUAUAAAGAUCCCCCCACCUUGAGACAGGCAUUAUUAUCCUCAUCUUUUCUAGCUCUGUAUUCUCAAAGAGAUUUCAUGUCUGAAUUUCUGCUUAAACGUCCAUGAAUGGCACAAGGGCCUAUUUCCUCAACUGCAGGAACAGACUGCAUGUGACAGGUUCCUGUGACUCCUACUGACAAGAAAUGCUGGUCAUGACAUUGAGGACUUCAGGCCGGCUCUGCAUGGAGCUCACUUGGGGGCAUUUGAGGGGCACUUGCUGUAGAAACUGAGCUGUGGUUACACACAUCUGUCACUGUCAAGUUCCAGGCCCGUGGAUGCAUGGCCUGAGUGAUUUCACAUCUUCCCUUGUGGCCAUGGGCCACGCCUCCUUCCUGAAAUGCCCUGAGGUCCUUCAAGUGCCCCUUCUGGGGAGGUUUCUGAUCUCUCCCAAGGCUGGCGGCUGCCCCUUCCCCGUGGUUGUCUCCCCCGCACUCAGCCCUCCCAGAGUCCAGCUGUCUGCACAUGCCUCCAGUGGGUCCUGGAAGCUCCUUAGCAAGUAUUUGUCUACUGAAUGGACAGAGGCUAAAGGCCCAUGAUCUUCAGAAAGAGACACUACCUGGACAAAUUUCAGGUACGGUAUUUCUAGAUAACGGAUGCCUGCAAUGCAUUCAUUCAUUCAACAGACCUUUACCGACCGCCUUGCUCUGCACUAGGUUAGCAUGAGAAGUUGAAAGGAGUAAAUACAAAGAAGAAGAAAGCAGAAUACGAAGUGAAGUGAGGAUACAGAAUGGUAACCAAGUAACUGGGACAUUCAGUUGCAAGCAAACAUGAAGAGCAGAGGGAACCUCGGAGGGGUGGCUCUAGGUGUGCCAGAAAAGCUGCACAGCGGAAGUGUCUUUGAGGUGCUCCUUGAAGAAUGCGAGUCCAUGAAGCAGAGGGGAGAGGGGAGCAGCUGGGGCCGGGCUGGAAGAGUCCUGGGGGCCGGGCAAAGGGAUUUGCCCUUUGAGAGUCUGGAGCUGGUCAAAGUUUAAGAUAAUAACCUAAUGACACCAUCAGGUUGGACGAUGUCUUACCUGCUGAUUCCCCAGUAACCCUGUGUCUGGGGAGAGGUUUACUGCUCUCCUCCUGUGUUACAAUGAGACCCAAAAUUCCAGAACCUUCUGCACUGGCAGACUCUUCUAUCCUGGGGGCAUAGGGGUGCAGCCAUUACUCCCUCCCCAUGGGAACAGAGCUCGCUCUCUAGACCCCUGUUAUGCUGACCCUCACUUCCAAUUCUAGAAGGAAUUAAAUGUAAAAACUACGGUUGGAGGUAAGAUUGCUCACCGCUUUCUGUGGCCAACAAAGUGGGGUCCCAUCUGCCAGCAUUUCGAAAUAAGCAUUUAGAAAUAAGUAUUCCAUUUUUUACAUCUGGUCAGACCCCCCCUACCCCAGGUGGUGAUACACCAGUGUGUGUGCUAGGGAUAUUUUAUAUUGGUGUUGUGGUCAUGUGUGAGUGUGAGUAUUUGUGGGUGUAUGUGUGUCUCAAGGUGGCAGCCACAGCUCACCUGCCCUGAAAGAGGGCACGUCAAAGUCAAGGUAAAGUGCUCGUCAAGCUGAUUCACAGGCAAAGAAAAGGACUGCUUUUGUUGUGAGAGUAUUUUCACAGUUUAGAACCAGAGGCUUCCAGACAUGGUUGAAAGCUAUGCUGGGCAGGAAACAUAAACCUUCCUUGCGAACCUCCUAUGAAGGGCAUGCCAACCAUAAAUAUUUAGCAUUAUUAAAUGUGAGUAUUUAUGAAAAACAUGGGGCUUUAUUUUAAAGGAUUUCCGGGCUUAUUGUACUUCGUGUCAACAAACGUUAGCAUGUAUGGCUUUACCUCCCAGAGAAAAGUUUCAGUAGCGGGCAUUUAGUGAGAUCUGUACACCUACACGUUGCAGAUGGUCUCGUUCUAUAAGAGAUGAAACUGCAUUUGGUGGAGCUGAUUAAAUAUAAAAACACCACCAUCUGCCAUUUAUUCUAAUAGAAAAUGGUUUGGGCAGAUGCUGACAUCUUUGGAGAUGAUUGAUGCAUCCCUGACAAGAGAAGAGGCUCAGAGCCAUCCAGCUGCCCACGGCUCAGAGCCAUCCAGCUGCCCACGGCUCAGACAAUCCCUGUUCACAACACAAGGGCCAAGCCGGGCGCUCUGAUUUGGAUGUAGCAGGUGAACAGACAGCACUUCAAUAACGAAAAACCAGGAACUUCUAAGCGCAUCGACUGUCUUCUCCCCACUCCCUGCCUCUCUUGACUUCUGGCCUAUAUUUAGCUGGAAGAAUAUUCUAGCCACACGCUGCAUUGUAUUAAGUGCCGGUUACUCCAGCACCGGGAUACCUGGAGGAGAGUCUAUUCUCAUUUUAGUGUUAAAAACUUUCAAAUGCUCUCUUCAUGUGCUACUGCUGGGUAGAGAAUUAUUUUCCCUAAGCCGACUGUAGGGUUUCAUUAAAAAAUAUAUUGUUUACAAAGCAACCAUGACACCCAUUCCAAACUGACUUGGAAACAGCUGUAUCCAUACUGUGAAACAUCUAUGGUGAUCAAAUGCCCUUUACAAGGAGAUAACAAACUGUGUCUUUCUGUAGGAAUAUUUUUGUAACAAUUUUUUUACAGCCUAAAUAUUUUCAGGAAGAAAAUUUAGACAUCAAGACAUUUAUUUGGUGCUGCGUUUAUAAAAUAUCUUUCUAUUUAUGUAGUGAUCGUUAGAUGUGAACUAAUUUUUUUUUCUCUGAUAGAAUUAAAUUCAGAGGUGAAGCUGGGUUUUCCCAUCUUGUUCAUCACAUUUUAAAAUAUUUGAAUUCUUUAUGUUGUGUUAGGCAAAGUGAUUUAAGACUAUUUCUUGAUAUUAUUUUCAAUUAAAUGCAGCCAACCUACACCCCAGUGCAUUUGUGCUGCAAUUAAAUAUAUUUGUGUGCCUAAAAUUAUGCCUGUUUGUACAGAUAUGUUUCCAUUUUGUGCUCAUAGAAAAUUCUGUUAUUUUGAAUUAGGUGCUCGUCCACUUAGUGCCUCUCUAUUUCUCUAUUUCCUGUUGUCUAUUUCUUCUAACCGCUGUCUACUCUAAUAAUCAAAGCAGCAGAAUUAAAGUUCAUCUAUUUCUCUGCCAGCAUUUUACGUGAGACGUGCAGUAAGUGUUACUGGAAACUCCAUCUCUCAGUCAUGUUCCCAGCAUCUCUCUGUCACGUUCCCAGCAUCUCUCCUCUACCUCCUCUCUUCUCUGCCUCAUAGACCAGCCUUUGAACCACUUUUCAUAUCCUGCCGACAUCUUUCCUCCCCCUGCCCCCGACAUUGACCACUGGUCUUCUCUACAUUGUUUAUGAUCUUAUUUCUUUCUUAUUCCUCCAGGUGAUAGGCAUCCUAGGAGUCACCUUUCCAGAGCAGUGGGAAACUCUGAUGGGGUAGUUUUCUCCUUUCACUGGAGUUAUCACCACAGACUUUGGCCACCUGCCCACACCCUUCUUCUUGAACUUUCUCCUUGUCUCUCUACACGCAGAGGCAUUCUUUUCUUCCCUUUUCCUUCCUCACCUGUCUCUCCCUUUCUGGCCUUGCUUGUUCCUCCUCCCUGCCAAGAGGAACUACUCACUGAGAGCUGGAAACACCUAGAAGAAUAAGAUGCCAUUAUGGGUAGAAUUGUCCCCCACCUUGUCCAUGUGCUGAAGUUCUAACCCCCAGUACCUCCAGAUGUGACCAUCUAGGAGAGAGGGUCUUUAAUGAGGGAAUCAAGUUAAUGUGAGCUCACUAGGGCCGCCCUGAUCCAAUUGGACUGAUGUCCUUAUAAGAGAGUCACCUGGAGGGAAGGUGACCCCACGAAGACACGGGGAGAAGACGGCCAUCUACAAGCCAAGGAGAGAGGCAGGAAGGACAGAGCCUUCCCUCUCAGCCCUCAGAAGGAACCAAUCCUGCUGACACCUUGACCUCGGACUUCCAGCCUCCAGAACUGAGAGACAAUACAGGUCUGUCGGUCUUCCCCCAGCCUGUGGUUUGUUUGUUACAACAGCCCUAGGAAACUAAUACAGAGACCAUCCCUGCCCUCGAGAGAUAAAGAUGCAAAAGGCAAUCAUGAGAUGGUGACAGUUGCUAAAGAAGCGUGGUGGAAAGACAGAGAAAGUCAGAAUUUGGAGGAACGGUCAUGUGAACGGGUUGGGAAGGCUUCUUGGAGGAUGGGGCACAAAUGUUGCAACUUAAAUGAUGAGUAAGGAGUUUUCCAGCAGAUGUUUAGAAGCAAGUAUUCUGGGCAAAUGGGAAAACUUAUGCAAACGUAGGAGGACGCAGGGGAACUGUGGUCACAGGUGAGUUUUGUCUGGGCACUCGGGUAAUGAUGGUGGUUCAUGUGGUACUUUUUCCCGGCAUCCCUCUUCCUUCAGGACACGAACCCACUUCCUGCCUCUUCACCCUCCUUCAUUCUGAUGGACGUUAUUUGGAAUCCAAACCUUGGAUUUGAAAUAUGAGAGGAACAUGCGUCCUGCUACCUCUUGCUGCAUAACUUAGUGGUUUAAAGUAAUAACAAGUUGCUGUAAAUCACAGCUCUGUGGCUUGGCUGAUUUCAGCUGGACAGUUCUCUCGGGGUCUCUCAAGUGCUGCCGUCGGAGGGUGACUGGAACUGGAAUUCAUCUGAAGUCUUGACCGGGCAGGGGUCCCAGACAGCUUCUUCACUCACGCCUGGCGCCCAGCUCGAAUGGAUGGCUGGAACAGCUGCGGUUGCCUGCAUCUUUCCAUGCCGCUUCUCCACAUGCCAGCGAGGGCUCCCUCACAGCAUGGUGGUACCAGGUGUCCAGACUUCUUGCUUAGGGCCUGGCUUUCUCCAGAACCAGCCUUUCAAGAGGCAAAGGCAGAAACUUGCCCCCAAGCCUUGAAAGCCAUACAGCAAUGCUUCUGUCACAUUUUAUGAGCUACUCCAGCUGGGCCAAGAUUCAAGGUGAGAGGGACUGCAGGGGGGCAUACCUACUGGAGGUGUGGCUAAUUAGAGAGCAGUUACCACAAGCAGUUUCCAGGUCCUGUUACUGGCUUGUGUUGAGUUCCACCUUUCUUGUGGUUAGUGAGGUGAAUCUGUGAGAUCCUUGUCAGGAACUUGAACUAGCAACCAGCACCACAAAAUAGAUUUUAUUUACUUGAGAAAACUGGACCAAAGGAGUGUCAGAUUUAAUAACUAAGUCCUCUUCGCUGGAGCCAGGAUGCCUGCAUGCAGAUGUCGCAGUCCGGAGCUCUGUUGGACAGUUCAGCUAGAGCCAAAGUUGGCCAGUGAUGGAGAUCAGAAACUCCUCUGGUGGUUUGAUACUUGCAGGGUGACUAGAGGAAUAAAGGGCAUCAUUUGUAAAGCCCUGAAGCCUUCCUUUAACGAAUGAGGGCCCAUUAACGUGAUCAUUCGGCCCCUUUAUAGGAAGUGCCUGGGUGCUCUCUGAUGCUAUGACCCACGGGUCAUGAUGCAGAGCCUUUCAAGGACAUCCUCUUUGAAGCCAAAGCAACUAAAAUAUAAGUCAAGUUUCAGGUGUACAGCAAAGUGAAUCAGUUAAUGACCUAUAUGGGAGAAGAAUCUAAAAAUGAGUGGAGAUAUAUAUGGAACUCAGCCUCCAGGGACUGCCUACCUGGAUUCUGCCUUGUUCCUGAGCCCAGGACUGGUCUCUGUUUUUUUUCUGAUUCCCCAUCCUUGAGUCCUCGAAGUGUUAUCUGUAGCAUCCUGGCUCUUCCGGUGCCAUCUUGCCUUGGUUGGGGCCUCCCUUGGCACUGGCUUGUGGCCUCCCAACCCGCCCUGUGUCUGCUGAGGUCCUGCUCCUGGCUGACAGGCCAACUGCGACCCCCCUUCUUGGGAUCCAUCACCCAUCGAGACGGUUACCUCCUUGCACGCCUUCCAGACGCCCAGGACAGUGCACCCACCCGAUGGAUUGCCUCUCAGUUCCCACGGGGGUCCUGUCCCCUCAUCCCUGUGCCUGGCCCUGCUGGUGGGUCUCCUUCCUGCUUGGGCCUGUGUCCAUUCUCAGGAGUUGAUUUAUUGAUGGGUGACCUCAGAAUCGAUGUAUUUUUUCAGGUAGGCUCUGUAAUAUGCAUGGUGCGGUGCGGAACAGGAGAAACCAGGUCCCUGUAAAGGCCAAACAACCAGCCUGCAGAUCACCGUGUCUGGGUUCUAGAAACUGGGGAUCCACAGAGUGAAAUUGAACCGUGUGUGAACACCUGAGAAAUUCGUGUGGCAAGUACAAUAUAAUGGCCUUUGUUUUCUACUGGUCAGCAAAAAAGAUAAGGAAUCAAUCCUAGAAAUAUGGAAUAGAAGUUAAAACAGCCAUAGCAGGCCUCCAUCUCUAUUUUUUUCCACUGUCUCAACUCUUUAGCCUGCCACUGUCUCCUAUCCGUCUCUGUGCCUCAGUUUCCUCAUCUGCAUCUGCACUGUGUGACUAUUGAAAGGUUAAGUGAAAUAACACACACCGUGUUUAGAAGAGUGCCUGGCAUGCAGUGGGCGCACAAAGAUGUGUGUUAUUACGAUCGUUAUUAUAAUGCCAUCAGCAGCCCAGACUCAGAGUGGGCUCUAUUCCUCCAAGGUGAUGGUCGGCAGAACGAUGUUUUUGUCAAACUGGUCCUUCCAUAAGCACCAUCUGUCUCUAGACCAGGAGGGUGCAGUGCUUGGGAACAUGUCUAACGGACUGCGAGAUGAUUUACAAAUUGGACAUCGAUGCUUCUUGGAAUCUGCAGGUCAUAAAAUCUGCUUCAAGCAAAGCCCACUCAGAGUUGUCAGGAUAACUUCAAUGGGAUGCUUUCCAACAAUAUAUGGGGAGAUGGGGCCCUGGCAGAAAUGACAUCUAUUUUGAUCAUUUUGUACAAAACCGCCCAAACUUUAUGACUGGAACCUCAUAUGUCAAUCUCACCGAUACAUACGCUGUCAGCUCAGUGAUCACGAUCAUGUAUUUUGACAGCAACAUCUGUCACCUGUUCCGAGGCCUCUGUUUAUUUGAUGUAACGGACUAUGUGGCAUCGUACGCUUUCUGCUCCUUCAGGUACAUUUUCCCAAAUUCCACGGGCUCCUGGAGGAAAUGCCGCUUCAGAUGGAGGAGGAAGGACCUGGGGUCUCAGCCACGCUUCUAGCUACAUGCCCAUGGCCUGUCUGGCAAAUACGGGGUUGCGUCACAAUCGUCAAAAAUAUUUGUGUAUCCCUCAGACCAAGGCCCUUCGGAAGACUAAAUACACAGGAUUUAUAAUGAGACUUGAUUAUGGUGGCAGCAAAGGUGAGAAUUACAAUAAAACCCGAAGCCAAGUCUCAUUUCUAUGAGAACGUGCAGCCGCCUCUUGCAAACCACAUUUUUCACCAGAGUUGUUAACAAGUACAUCUAUGGACAUGUGCUAGUUUCAUUUGUAGUAAGAUGAUGCAUGGGGCCUUUCUCGUGCAAUUAGGACCCGUGGGGAGAAAACAAAACAGGGUAAGUGCUCCCACAUUCUAACAGAGUGCUAGAAGUUGGGGUCGGACACCUCCACAGGCCCCACCAAUGUCACCCGCCCCCCUCGUCCCCAGGCUCAGCCCCCCUUGCCCCAGGCUGUAUGAGAAGAGGAAUGGGGAAAGAAAGGCAGGUCUGGAGGCUGACCUUCUGGGAAGUGCAGAGUUGGGUGGUGGUGGUGAGAGCCUUUCCUUUCUCCCAUGGUGGAGGAUGGUGUCUUCAUCCUUGAAGUCAAGGGCAGGUCUCCAAGGGCAUCCUCAGAGUUGAUAGAAGUGUCUGUGAACGAGGGGCCUGCAGUUCAUCCUUUGGUAGAUGCUUGCUGAGCUCUAUCUCCUCCCUGUAUCUUAUCCCUGGGCCCAGCCUGGUGCUACUGUCUAAGUGGAAUUGGGGAGGGUGCUAAGGAGAGCUCCUUAGAGAUUCUCUGACAAUUAAAGAUGUGCUCCGUCGUGGAGACUGUUACCUUUUUGGGUGCAGAGAUUUCUGAAGGCAGGAGGCCAGCUGGGAUGAGAGUCUGAUGUGCCUUGGAGAAAGGUGGGUUUGACCCCCAUCCAUUCCAGCUUUCCAAGGCCAUUAGCAGGCACAGAAGAGAGGAUGCCGGGCUUCUUGCGGUUCCACAUGAGACCAUGAUGUUAUUAGAGGUGCAGGGCCCCGGAACCAGGGCUUCAGGACACGGAGAGGCCAAAGUGGAGCUGAGCAGCAUCCCGAGAAGACCACACCAGCCAACCACGGGGAGAGGGUCCUAUAGCAGGGGGCAUGGCAGCAGACUGGCGCCCUCCUCUCUACUGCACCCAUCCAGGAGCUGUGCCCCGGGCCCUCAUCCCCCUGCUGCCCUUUGCCUAGAAGUCUCCUCCAUCUGCAUCUACCACCCGUCCCCUGGCGUCAUUCAGGCCGCCACUGACACGUCUUCUCCUUGUAGACACCCUCCCUGGCUGCUUCAUCUGUGCGAACACCUCUUGUCCCUCUGCAUUCCCAGACCCUGCUUUAUCUUUCGACAGCACUGCCUCACAUUGUACUACACGUUCAUCCGUUCCCUAGUAUCUCCCCUGCCCCCGACACAGGGUGUGUAAGGUCCAAGGGGACCCGGGAUUUGCUUCAGCCGACACGUUCUCUCCAUGGCCUAGGAGAGGCGCUGCAUGUGUCAGGUGCUCAGAAAAUAUCUCUUAGAUGAAUGAAUGAAUGAAUGAAUGAAUGAGCUGGACUGAUCCUUCCUCCUUCGUCAGGCGGUCAGUCGUGGUGGGCAGUCCCCAGCAUGAGUCGUUCAGUUUUCUUCCCUUCGAGAACCAUCGUCUGUCCUUCUUGGGCCUGACCCGUGCCUUGGGCUCAGCCGUCAGGGCUGGGUUUGACCAGGAGAGACACCUGCAGAAAACUUGGAGGAGAGAGAGUUAGGGGUCAUUCUUCCCAGGCUCCGUCCCUGCUGGGCUGUGCCUGGCAGCGGCUGAGGCCACCAGUGCCCACCGUGGGUGCCCCCUCCCAUGGCUGGAACUCCCGCCUCAUGCCCCUGAGACCUGGGCAAGGCUUCCUGCCAUGGCCCAUGUCCUGGUCUUCCCUGCGCCGCCCCCUGCUCUGUGAACAGGCUCUUCAUUAAGCUCAUCCACGGCCCCUUGAGCGUGUCGUCUCUUUCCUGCUGAGACAUGACUGAUGCACCCGCCUCCCCACGCGCUCACCCUCCUUCAUCCUGAGCUAACCACGCAACCUCGCUGCCAGGGUGCAGUCCAUGGCCAGCUGCAUCAGUGGGACCUGUGAGUGUGUUAGAAUGCAGAAUCUGGCCUCCCCGUGGAGUCUGAAUCUGUAUUUUGAGACGCCCCGGAUGAUCUGCGUUUGAGUCUGCACAGCACCAACUGGAGAAGGGGGGGGCGUUGUGUGACUGUGGGGCCACGCUCUACCCCGACACUCCGUGGUUCAUUUGUAAACUAGCAAGGCAGGCUCUUCAAACAUCGCCUACACACUUCUUCCCUCUGCCUCUUGUGGGCAGAGUCGGGGAUGCUCUCCUGCUCUGGAUUCAGGCUGCCUGGAUUCCAAUCUUUCUUCUCCUCCUCACUAGCUGUGCAACUCAGGGAAAUUUCCUAACCCUCUCUGUUCCCUUGCUUGUCCAGUGAGGAUGGUAAUCGUGCUGCCUAAUGGGAUUGAGAUGUAAGUCACAUGAUGCAUAUGCCUAAUGGGAUUGAGAUGAUUAAGUAAGUCACAUGAUGCAUAAGAAGUGAGGGAACCAAGUAUGCGGAUAUAUGUGGUAAGAUGAACUCAAACCAGGAAGAAAAGCCAAGGAAGCAGUGCCUGGAGCCGGUGCCGCCCACAGCAUCACUGCACGGAAGCUGAGGAAUCCUGGUGGAGGUGCCGGUGUGUCAUUUUGGGUAGGAGUGAGGGUGGUCAGGUUUGGUAAUAUACAGGCUGGAAAACCCUUUUGUGUAGUUCACCUCCUAAAUAAGAGGCGAUCACCUGAAAUGAUAAUCACUAAAGCACUUAUAUUUACUUGAGAGUUUGCAAGGCCCUUUCGAAGACAUAAUACAGAUACUUAAAAGUCUGAGAAGCAAAGUCCUGAAAAGAUCAUUCUGGGCAGUGCUCAGUCAGAUGGAACCCUUCCAGAAUAAAGUUGACUGCAAAUGAAUCCCUGCUUCCAAAUGUAAUUCUGCAGAUGCACUUUGAUUUCACAGCCAUUGAUCAAUAAUUCAUUUGGCUCGUGACUGCCGAUGACAUGAUUUAAUAUGUCCAACUAAAUUAUGUCCCCAUAGGAACACUCAUGGGGUGUUUGGAACAUGCAUACCAAAGGAAAAAAUUACAAUUACCACAGUGUCGGCCCCGAAUUGAAGCAAGAGAGCAUACAUGCCUAGACAUGCAGUUUGAAAUAAAAGAGGGACUUGUGAUCAGAUCAACGGAAGACCUAAAGCAGAGACAGCUCCAUGAGCCCAGGACCUUCUGUUGAUGUCCACAGCUCCUAGUCUGGAGCACCGACCCUUGCUCAGGAUCUGUCAAUACCCACGGCCAAGAUCAGAACUGGAAAGGCCAAGGUGAGGCACACCCAGAGAAAUUAACACUGCUUGAGUAAUCCCAAGUACUUAUUCGGACUUCCUAAGAAACACGUCCAUCAUCUUUACUGUUGGUGGGUCUCUGCCUAUUUCUCUGUAAUUGUCUUUUGGGCCCCCCUCAUUUAGUGUGAGGCAAAUUGGGUGAACUGACGGAAGUAGCAAGGCACGUGUGUGAAGACACUGUGGUGUGUUACCUGAAGAAAAAAUACUACAAGGCUUAGUUUCUAACAAUAGCAACAAAAGGAAUACGCCAUCCAGGAGAUUUUGUGUGAGACAAAGUUAAACACUAAGAAGAGCCAGAUCUGGGCUUCCCUGGUGGCGCAGUGGUUGAGAGUCCGUCUGCCGAUGCAGGGGACACGGGUUCGUGCCCCGGUCCAGGAAGAUCCCACAUGCCGCGGAGCGGCUGGGCCCGUGAGCCAUGGCCGCUGAGCCUGCGCGUCCGGGGCCUGUGCUGCGCAGCGGGAGAGGCCACAGCAGUGAGAGGCCCGCGUAC